ensembl:lncRNA
UAAAGUUUAUAAUCAACCAGCAUUAUUUUUCAGUAUUUUCUGUGGUUUUCUAAUAACCUUUCAUUUUUUGUUUUUGUGUCAUUUGAUUUUCAUCUUCCAGUUACUAUAGAGGAGGGAGGAAUUCAGAUUUAUGAAAAUUAUGCAAUACCAAGUUUUGCCUAUGUAGGUAGUGCUUAUAGAUUUGUCAAUUAUUAGAGGCUAGUUUGGAGAUAGACACUAUUGUAAUGCAUUUAUUUUGUUGAUAUCGUUGUUGUUAUUGUUGUUGUUAUUGUUGUUGUUGAUGUUGUUGUUGUUUUAAUUUUUUAAUUGACCAAAGUGGGGACUGCUUUCUAUGCAGUGUAUGACAAGGUCUUUUUUUUAGUGUACUGUACUAAGAGAUUGAGAGACAUGUUUCAGUGUGUUUUUAAUUCUUGGUGUGGUAGACAGGGGGUCUUUUAUUUCCGAUACCUACAGUAUGUAAAGAAUGCACCCGUUGGUCUCAUAUGGCUGCAAAGUCACUGAUCUGUCUACUGUGACAAACUUGCCUUUUUCCUUUCAACUUUCCACCUGGGGUGCUAGCGUGUGACAGCAACCGAGCUCAUUUUCACAGGAGAGGCGGCUUGACUUGAGUGUGACAAUCAUUUAAAUCUAAUUUCGGAAGAGGAGCAUGCUAACGUUAAUCAGACGCGCAGUUGCAAACCGACAUCCUGCCAUCAUGGGGAAAGCCGGCCCUUUGUCCGUGCUACUUCUCCAUGCAGGAAGCUAUGUAGGAAUGAACUCGUGAGAUUAGCUGUAUGUAAUUCCCAAGUAGAUGCCUUAAAAAUAUACAUGAAGUGACCUGUUACACAAGCUCUACAAUCAAUAGGCCAUCAAAUGUGAGAAUGGUCAAAUCAGUCUUAAGGAAGUCUUUGUAAGAAUCCAAUGUUAAGUGCACUAAAUCUGUAUAAACUCCAGAGAUUGACCUACCUGUUUUGGGGUGUUAUUUUGGCACUAAAAGGAACCAUGUAUUUUAUCAUGGAAUAAGCUAUGCACUACAGUGGAAGGAUAUCAGCUGUUUUCCUUGUAUUCUGUAGGACCAGGAGAAAUUCAACGAAAAAAAGAGCACUUGCAUAGCACAUAGGCAGUUUCCCUCCUCGUGUGUUUUUUCUUUCUUCUUCAAAUCUAUAACAAACAAAAAUGCUACAAUAUUACAUUAAAACAAUUUGAUUUCUCAGGCGUUACGCAGGGCAUUACAAAUUCCAGUCAUAACCCUCCCACUUAAUAAUAAUAUAGUAAUAUGUAUCACUACUUUUGUAUCGCUAAUAGAUACUAACCACAAUUUUGUUUUGACACCUUUUGCACUCUAUCCCAACAAUUGUGAAUGUUCUUCCCUGCUUAAUUAGAAGAAAAGGUACUGUGCUGUUUACACGACAGUCUUUGGAAAGCCACGUAUGAAACUCAAGUCAAGCUUAUUCUCUCCUCCUUCACCCAAAAUUCAGAUUCCGAUUUUUUUUGCAGAAAAAAAAAAAAGAACGUAACGAAAACAAAAGCCACCCUGUUCUAUGUGCACUGUCUGCCUUUUUUUUUUUUUUUGUGUAAAAACAUAAGUGCUUUGCAGCCUCUGGCCAUUGGAGACCCCACUGAAAUGCAUUUUCCCAGAGUCAGGGUUGAUGGUGUUGAUAUUUUGGGCAGAAGGCUGGUUGUAUAUAAGGGUGAAUACCAUGGUGGCGUCGAUAGCAGUAGUCCUUUUGGGGGGUAAAAUCUGCUUUUGGCAGCUUUCGAGUAAUUUGUGCUUGUGUGUGCGUGCGCGUGUGUGCUAGAAUGUAUGAGAGGUAGAGAUGACACCACACAACGAGUGAGAGGAUGAGGAUCUUUCUGUUGAGAAGCCUGCCUCAUAGACAAGAGUUUGUACACUGUAAUCUUUUUCAAGAUUUUUCUCCGACACCCUUUAAUUGUUUUCUAACAUUUGGGGUUUUUAUGACCCAAUUCCAUUUUAUGAAAUAAGUCAAUUAGAAAGCGAUGCAUUGGCGACGUAGGCUGGACUAGAGGUACAACUCUCCAGCUUUCCCCAAACAUCAAGAAAUUACAUGAAAGCAUUUUAUAAAUGUUCCUUUAUUUAGGGUAAGUAUCCCUGUAAAGAACCCAGACAUUUAAAGAGUUUAGAAUAUGAAGGUUUAUUUUUAUUUUCUGUGUUUAGUGCUUAAAAACGUAACAUUUUGGAAACAUUUCUGUAAUAUUUGAAAUUUUAGUUUUUGCUAGCGUGGCCAUAGUAAGGUGUAUGCUGUGAUUAUAUGUGGUUGUGAAUCCAUGUCAGAGAGAGAAAGAGACAGUGGG